rnacentral:lncRNA from 1 species
GAAAACUCAGCUCCUAGGUUGCCUGAGAGGGAUAUGAAAACGGAAUCAGGCUUCUCUACCCUCAUCCAGCUCAGUCACAGGUAUGUCUUUCCAAGGAUUCAAAUCAUCACUGAAGGCAAAAGCCCUCACAGACACGAGGACACCAAAGUCCUUCAAAGCACAGCCAUAGGAAAUGCUGGUCACCAUUUCAACAGCUCUAAAACUGGAUGCUGCAGGUGUCUCGCAUUGACAGCUGCAAUUUUACUGAUGCUGUGCAGCACAGGAUGUCCACUCUCAUUAUGUUUCAAAACACAGGAAAUGCAACUUAGUAUAUGAACGCAUAAGAAGGAAGGAACCUUUUAAAGUUCAAGGUAAUUGCCAUGAUUUUAAAGUUGCUGGAGGAGGAGAAGACAGCAUUUCAUGGAUCCUUUACUUGAUUUUG